rnacentral:rRNA from 2 species
ACCGAGGAUAAUACCCGAUACUUCAAUGUGGCCGCAUGACGACAUUGAAAAAGCUUUUGCGGAGAAGGAUGGGCCCGCGGCCUGUUAGCUUGUUGGUGGGGUAGAGGCCUACCAAGGCAAUGAUGGGUAGCUGGGUUGAGAGACCGACCAGCCAGAUUGGGACUGAGACACGGCCCAGACUCCUACGGGAGGCAGCAGUGGGGAAUCUUGCACAAUGGGCGAAAGCCUGAUGCAGCGACGCCGCGUGCGGGACGAAGGCCUUUCGGGUUGUAAACCGCUUUCAGCAGGGACGAGGCGAAAGUGACGGUACCUGCAGAAGAAGCCCCGGCUACAA